ACUUAGAAUUUCACUAAUUUAUAUAUAUUUUUCUUUUUAAAAUAAUGCAUCGUUGGAGCAAUACGAUGSAGUCGAAUGAUAUUUUUAAUGUGACGCCACCAUCAACUUCCACUCCUAAGGGCUUAAAAAGGAAAAWARUGMAACUAUCACAUAAUUUUUACGCUAGCUCUUCAAGUCAAGUACUCACUCCGCACAGCCAAAACAUGUUUUGCUCUGAAGAAACUGCAACUGCUUCCGAGGUCUUAGAUGUAAACAAAGAUAUAAUGGCCAAGUAAGAUUUAAUUUGGAAAAUCAAUUGAACUUGGAAAGUCGGCUGGACAAAUUGGAAGAAAACAUAAUUAAUAAAACUGAUGUCAUGGCCCACCACAAAAUUGUGCGAGAGACGAAAGUCCUAGUAAAAAAGGUGCAGCAGACAGUAUGCCGCAUCUCUGGAGAACGUUGCGAAGACUUUCGCACCGAACUGGCAGUUCUUAUGCCAAUGCAGACCUUGGAUGCGGUCUUUGAUUUGGAGGAGAAGAUAUUAGAAAAAAAUUAUGAAGAUGCAGUUAUAACACAUCUUUUCACUUUAAAGGGGACUUCUGGGGAUAUUGGCGAAGUUAUGAAGCGAGUUUUUGGCGACGAAGUGCUCAGUUUGUUCAAUUGGCAUGGGAGGUGCAGGAAGAAAUCGCUUUCAAAAUUAAAAAUAGUUAGCGUUG